GUGGGGAAUUUUGGGCAAUGGGCGCAAGCCUGACCCAGCAACGCCGCGUGAGGGAUGAAGGUUUUCGGAUCGUAAACCUCUGUCAGGAGGGAAGAGCAGUCCCAUGGCCAAUACCCAUGGGACCCGACGGUACCUCCAAAGGAAGCGCCGGCUAACUCCGUGCCAGCAGCCGCGGUAAUACGGAGGGCGCAAGCGUUGUUCGGAAUUACUGGGCGUAAAGCGCGUGUAGGCGGUUUGGAAAGUCGGGUGUGAAAUCCCCGGGCCUAACCCGGGAACUGCAUCCGAAACUUCCUGACUAGAGUCCCGGAGAGGAAGGCAGAAUUCCCAGUGUAGGGGUGAAAUCCGUAGAUAUUGGGAGGAAUACCAGUGGCGAAGGCGGCCUUCUGGACGGUGACUGACGCUGAGACGCGAAAGCGUGGGGAGCAAACAGG
rnacentral:rRNA from 1 species